GAAAAUGUAACGGGGCUCAAGCCACGAGCCGAAGCUUAGGGUGCAUGCUUUUGCAUGCGCGGUAGCGGAGCGUUCCGUAAGCCUGCGAAGGAGGACCCGUGAGGGCCUCUGGAGGUAUCGGAAGUGCGAAUGCUGACAUGAGUAACGACAAACAGUGUGAAAGACACUGUCGCCGAAAGUCCAAGGGUUCCUGCGUAAAGUUAAUCUUCGCAGGGUUAGCCGGCCCCUAAGGCGAGGCCGAAAGGCGUAGUCGAUGGGAAGCACGCUUAAUAUUCGUGCGCCAGUGGGUAGUGACGGAUCCUUAGCGUCGUUCGAUCUUAUCGGAUUGAUCGGGCGGCUUCCGGGUCCCAGGAAAUAGCUCCCACAUCAGACCGUACCCGAAACCGACACAGGUGGACUGGUAGAGUAUACCAAGGCGCUUGAGAGAACUAUGUUGAAGGAACUCGGCAAUUUACCUCCGUAACUUCGGGAUAAGGAGGCCUUCCGUUUGGGCAACCAGGCGGGAGGGGCACAGACUAGGGGGUGGCGACUGUUUACCUAAAACACAGGACUCUGCGAAGUCGCAAGACGACGUAUAGGGUCUGACGCCUGCCCGGUGCCGGAAGGUUAAGAGGAGAGGUUCACGCUUUGAAUCGAAGCCCCGGUAAACGGCGGCCGUAACAAUAACGGUCCUAAGGUAGCGAAAUUCCUUGUCGGGUAAGUUCCGACCUGCACGAAUGGUGUAACGAUCUGGACACUGUCUCAACCGUGAGCUCGGUGAAAUUGUAGUCCCGGUGAAGAUGCCGGGUACCCGCAACGGGACGAAAAGACCCCGUGAACCUUUACUGCAGCUUCACGCUGAGUUUGGGUGCAUAAUGUGUAGGAUAGGCAGGAGACUGAGAAGCAUGUACGCCAGUAUGUGUGGAGUCGCCGUUGAAAUACUGCCCUUUGUGUAUUUGAAUUCUAACCACGAGAGUGGGACACCGUGUGGUGGGUAGUUUGACUGGGGUGGUCGCCUCCAAAAGAGUAACGGAGGCUUCCCAAGGUGCCCUCAGCACGGAUGGUAAUCGUGCGUAGAGUGCAAUAGCAUAAGGGUGCUUGACUGUGAGACUAACAAGUCGACCAGGUGCGAAAGCAGGGUAUAGUGAUCCGGUGGUUCUGUGUGGACUGGCCAUCGCUCAAAGGAUAAAAGGUACUCCGGGGAUAACAGGCUGAUCGCCGCCAAGAGCUCAUAUCGACGCGGCGGUUUGGCACCUUGAUGUCGGCUCGUCACAUCCUGGGGCUGGAGAAGGUCCCAAGGGUUCGGCUGUUCGCCGAUUAAAGUGGCACGCGAGCUGGGUUCAGAACGUCGUGAGACAGUUCGGUCUCUAUCUGUUGUGGGCGUAGGAAUUUUGAGGGGUCCUGACUUUAGUACGAGAGGACCGAGUUGGACGAACCUCCGGUGUAUCGGUUGUGCCGCCAGGUGCAUUGCCGAGUAGCCGCGUUCGGAUUGGAUAAGCGCUGAAAUCAUCUAAGCGCGAAGCCAACCCCAAGAUAAGAAUUCCCUUGAGGGUCGUGGGAGACUACCACGUUGAUAGGCCGCAGGUGUAAGCGCAGUAAUGUGUUCAGCCGAGCGGUACUAAUUGCCCGA
rnacentral:rRNA from 1 species